ensembl:misc_RNA Y_RNA Y RNA
GGCGGGUCCAAUGGCAGUGGAUUUCAGAGUUUAUUAACAUUAGCAUCACUAAAGUUAGUAUACAGUCCUCCACUGCUAAAUUUGGAUGGCUAAAA